UACGUAGGUGGCAAGCGUUGUCCGGAAUUAUUGGGCGUAAAGCGCGCGCAGGCGGUCCUUUAAGUCUGAUGUGAAAGCCCACGGCUCAACCGUGGAGGGUCAUUGGAAACUGGGGGACUUGAGUGCAGGAGAGAAGAGUGGAAUUCCACGUGUAGCGGUGAAAUGCGUAGAUAUCAGGAGGAACACCGGUGGCGAAGGCGGCCCUCUGGACGGAUACUGACGCUGAGACGCGACAGCGUGGGGAGCAAACAGG
rnacentral:rRNA from 1 species